rnacentral:rRNA from 1 species
UACAGAGGGUGCGAGCGUUGUCCGGAAUCACUGGGCGUAAAGGGCGCGUAGGCGGCUUCUUAAGCGUGCGGUGAAAGCCCGGGGCUCAACCCCGGGUCGGCCGUGCGAACUGGGGAGCUCGAGCACUGUAGAGGCAGGCGGAAUUCCGGGUGUAGCGGUGGAAUGCGUAGAGAUCCGGAAGAACACCGGUGGCGAAGGCGACCUGCUGGGCAGUGGCUGACGCUGAGGCGCGACAGCGUGGGGAGCAAAC